rnacentral:rRNA from 1 species
UACGUAGGGAGCAAGCGUUGUCCGGAAUCAUUGGGCGUAAAGCGCGCGUAGGCGGCCCGGUAAGUCCGUUGUAAAAGUCGAAGGCUCAACCUUCGAAAGCCGAUGGAUACUGCCGGGCUAGAGUUCGGAAGAGGCGAGUGGAAUUCCUGGUGUAGCGGUGAAAUGCGCAGAUAUCAGGAGGAACACCAAUUGCGAAGGCAGCUCGCUGGGACGUAACUGACGCUGAGACGCGAAAGCGUGGGGAGCAAACAGG